rnacentral:lncRNA from 1 species
GCCCCGGCCUCGAUCCAGGGAUUCCCUCCGGGAAGGAAGGGGGCUCCGGGCAGGCAGGGAGCCGGGCUUACUCCCGAGGAGACCACGACCGCCUGGAGGCGGCCAUCUUGGGCCACGCCCCCUUUGCUCGGCAUGCUGGGAAGGCGUGGGGUUUUUUUUAACCCUUUCGGGCCUGCAGAGGAACGCUUGCCUCUCCUCCUAGGCUGGGGAGUUGCCUCUUCUCUCUCUCUCUUUGUGCGUGUGUUUCCAAUUUCCUAUUGAAAACACACAUCUUUAUUUAUUUAUUCAGCCAUCUCGGGUGCAAAGCGAAGUCCCUCCCAUUGUUUAGCUGGAAUCGGAUGUAAAGCGAAGUCCCUCCCAUUGUUUAGCUGGAAUAAAAGGAAUGCAUGACUGCCGCGCUCUCUCUCUCAAGCGGGGGCAGCCCUUCCGAACUUUGGAAAAGGGACUUUUGGGGAACGACAACUCCCAGCAUCCCCACCGCCAAGCAGCGGCGGCGUAACCACUAGGCUGCGCUGCCCACCAUCCAUAUACAGUUAUUUUUUGGGGGGGGAAGACUUUCGAAGCCAAAGAAGUGGCGUUUUCUUCUGAACAAGAUCCCCAGGAAAGGGGGAAAAAAAGCUCUCGAAAACAGAUCUACUCUAAAGUAAGUUCCGUUGCUUUCGGCUCAGAUCUUGCACCCAUCCACACCCCUCUGUUGAGAAGGACUGGGGAGACUUUUGUUCGCCGGAACUUUACGUCAUUGGCUCCGGUUUCCCACCCGGACGUUUUCUACCGAAGCUUCCCUGCCAAGGCUACUCUCGUUUCUCGCGAGACUUGGGCCCUGCUCUCGCGGAAGGCGCCUCUCUAUUGGUCAGCGGCGGUUGCUGCGCAGGCUCAGUGCGGGAGGAGCGGCCUGAACCUUCGCCACCAUGUCGAUCUUCACACCGACGAACCAGAUCCGCCUCACAAACGUGGCCGUGGUGCGGAUCAAGCGGGCCGGGAAGCGCUUCGAGAUCGCCUGCUACCGGAACAAGGUCCUGGGAUGGCGGAGCGGCGCGGAGAAGGACCUUGAUGAAGUUCUGCAG